UUUUAUAUAAUUAUUAUAUCUAUUAAUAAUUUGAAGAAUUACUCCGGAGUUAACAGAAAAUCAUAUCUAAUCUAGUUCUUAUAGUAAGAUAAGUUUUACAUCGAUGUUGUAUUUAAGUUUAUUAAGAAAGGAGAAGAUUUAAUUUUUAAGACUGUUCUUCUUUUAAUUAACUUA
rnacentral:rRNA from 1 species